GACGAACGCUGGCGGCGUGCUUAACACAUGCAAGUCGAACGGAAAGGCCCUGCUUUUGUGGGGUGCUCGAGUGGCGAACGGGUGAGUAACACGUGAGUAACCUGCCCUUGACUUUGGGAUAACUUCAGGAAACUGGGGCUAAUACCGGAUAGGAGCUCCUGCUGCAUGGUGGGGGUUGGAAAGUUUCGGCGGUUGGGGAUGGACUCGCGGCUUAUCAGCUUGUUGGUGGGGUAGUGGCUUACCAAGGCUUUGACGGGUAGCCGGCCUGAGAGGGUGACCGGCCACAUGGGGACUGAGAUACGGCCCAGACUCAUACGGGAGGCAGCAGUGGGGAAUAUUGCACAAUGGGCGGAAGCCUGAUGCAGCAACGCCGCGUGCGGGAUGACGGCCUUCGGGUUGUAAACCGCUUUCGCCUGUGACGAAGCGUGAGUGACGGUAAUGGGUAAAGAAGCACCGGCUAACUACGU
rnacentral:rRNA from 1 species